CUUCACACCCUUGUCAAAGCCUUGUCCCGUCAGAUCUCGAAAGCGAAGCAGGGCCGGGUCUGGUUAGUACUUGGAUGGGAUACCGCUGGGAAUGCCAGGUACCACAAAGG
rnacentral:rRNA from 1 species